rnacentral:piRNA from 1 species
CUUAUAUAUUAACUGUUGACAAGGAC